AACGUAGGUGGCGAGCGUUGUUCGGAUUUAUUGGGCCUAAAGGGCCCGUAGGACGCUGAUUAAAUUUGGGGUGAAAUUCCGCGAGCUCAACUCCGGAACUGCCUUGGAGAUCGAAAACUAGAGUACCGGAGAGGUAGGCGGAAUUCCUGGUGUAGGGGUGAAAUGCUUAGAUAUCUGGAAGAACACCGAAGGCGAAGGCGGCUUACUGGACGGGAACUGACUCUCAUGGACGAAAGCGUGGGGAGCAAACAGGAUUAGAUACCCUGGUAGUCCACGCCGUAAACGAUGUGAACUUGGUGUGGGGGAAAUGAUCCUCCUCGGCACAGAAGAUAAGGCGAUAAUCCCGCCGGCUGAGGACUACCGCCGGGAGGAUACUCCUCAAAGGAAUCGACGGGGCCCCCCACAAGCGGAGGAGCAUGUGGCUUAAUUCGAGGCAACGCGAAGAACCUUACCCCGGCUCGAAAUAUAACGCCUCCCCGGUGAAAGCCGGUUCUCUUUCGGGACUCUUAUACAGGUGCUGCAUGGCUGUCGUCAGCUCGUGCCGUGAGGUGUUCGGUUAAGUCCGGCAACGAGCGCAACCCGUGUCAUCAGUUGCCAGCAGGUAAAGCUGGGGACCCUGAUGAGACUGCCCGGGUUAAGCGGGAGGAAGGCGCGGAUGACGUCAAGUCAGUAUGGCCCUUAUGUCCGGGGCUGCACACGUGCUACAAUGGUCGGUACAAUGAGCCGCGAAGUCGCGAGGCGGAGCAAAUCUAUAAAACCGGCCUUAGUUCAGAUUGCAGUCUGCAACUCGACUGCAUGAAGUUGGAAUCGCUAGUAAAGGCGUAUCAGCUACGACGCCUUGAAUACGUUCCCGGGCCU
rnacentral:rRNA from 1 species